rnacentral:rRNA from 1 species
UACGGAGGGUGCGAGCGUUGUCCGGAUUUAUUGGGUUUAAAGGGUGCGUAGGCGGCCCCGCAAGUCCGUGGUGAAAGCCCCUUGCUUAACAAGGGAACUGCCAUGGAUACUACGGGGCUUGAGUCCAGGCGAGGUUGGCGGAAUGGACGGUGUAGCGGUGAAAUGCAUAGAUACCGUCCAGAACCCCGAUUGCGUAGGCAGCUGACUAGGCUGGUACUGACGCUGAGGCACGAAAGCGUGGGGAGCGAACAGG